GACGAACGCUGGCGGCGUGCUUAACACAUGCAAGUCGAACGCUGAAGCCCUUCGGGGUGGAUGAGUGGCGAACGGGUGAGUAACACGUGGGUAAUCUGCCCUGCACUCUGGGAUAAGCCUUGGAAACGGGGUCUAAUACCGGAUAGGACACAUCGCCGCAUGGUGUGUGUGUGGAAAGUUCCGGCGGUGCAGGUUGAGCCCGCGGCCUAUCAGCUUGUUGGUGGGGUGAUGGCCUACCAAGGCGACGACGGGUAGCCGGCCUGAGAGGGUGACCGGCCACGCUGGGACUGAGACACGGCCCAGACUCCUACGGGAGGCAGCAGUGGGGAAUCUUGCGCAAUGGGCGAAAGCCUGACGCAGCAACGCCGCGUGGGGGAUGACGGCCUUCGGGUUGUAAACCUCUUUCGACCGGGACGAAGGAUUCGUUUGACGGUACCGGUAGAAGAAGCACCGGCUAACUACGUGCCAGCAGCCGCCGUAA
rnacentral:rRNA from 1 species